rnacentral:lncRNA from 1 species
CUCUUUUCACACUCUUUCUUGACUGCUACAAUUCUUCAGUGUUUUUCCCAGUUUACCCUUUUGGGGUCUUCAUAUGUUUCUGCAGCACCACUUUCUCCACCAAUCUCAACCUAUAGAUUUGCCCUCUAUGGAAGUCCAGAGUUCAGAAUAAGGUUCUUUCCUCUACUGCACCCCUAUAAUCUAAUCCCAGAUCUAUGAACUCAAUUGUACAGAGAAAG